rnacentral:rRNA from 1 species
UACGUAGGGUGCAAGCGUUGUCCGGAAUUAUUGGGCGUAAAGAGCUCGUAGGCGGUUUGUCGCGUCUGCUGUGAAAACCCGAGGCUCAACCUCGGGCCUGCAGUGGGUACGGGGCAGACUAGAGUGGCGGUAGGGGAGAUUGGAAUUCCUGGUGUAGCGGUGGAAUGCGCAGAUAUCAGGAGGAACACCAAUGGCGAAGGCAGAUCUCUGGGCCGUAACUGACGCUGAGGAGCGAAAGCAUGGGGAGCGAACAGG